rnacentral:rRNA from 1 species
AAACUAACAAGGAUUCCCCUAGUAACGGCGAGUGAAGCGGGAAAAGCUCAAAUUUGUAAUCUGGCGCCUUUGGCGUCCGAGUUGUAAUCUCGAGAAGUAUUUUCCGCGCUGGACCGCACAUAAGUCUGUUGGAAUACAGCGUCAUAGUGGUGAGAACCCCGUAUAGGGUGCGGAUGCCCAGUGCUUUGUGAUAUACUUUCGAAGAGUCGAGUUGUUUGGGAAUGCAGCUCAAAUUGGGUGGUAAAUUCCAUCUAAAGCUAAAUAUUGGCGAGAGACCGAUAGCGAACAAGUACCGUGAGGGAAAGAUGAAAAGCACUUUGGAAAGAGAGUUAACAGUACGUGAAAUUGUUGGAAGGGAAACGCUUGAAGUCAGACUUGCAUUUUGGAGUUCAACCGCAAGGUGUAUUCUUCAAUUCGCAGGCCAGCAUCAGUUUUUGGGGGUGGAAAAGCGUGGUUUGAAGGUAGCAGUCUCGGCUGUGUUAUAGCUUUCCACUGGAUUCACUUUUGGGGACUGAGGAACGCAGUACGCUUUUUGCAAGAUUUUCGGAUCUUUCGUACUUAGGAUGCUGGUGGAAUGGCUUUAAACGAC